rnacentral:rRNA from 1 species
AUUGAACGCUGGCGGCAUGCCUAACACAUGCAAGUCGAACGGAGGGCUUCGGCCCUUAGUGGCGGACGGGUGAGGAACGCGUAGGAAUCGGCCCACGAGUGGGGGACAACCUGGGGAAACUCAGGCUAAUACCGCAUACGCUCGCGAGAGGAAAGCGGGGGACCUUCGGGCCUCGCGCUGGUGGACGAGCCUACGUCCGAUUAGCUAGUUGGUGGGGUAAAAGCCUACCAAGGCGACGAUCGGUAGCGGGUCUGAGAGGACGACCCGCCACACUGGGACUGAGACACGGCCCAGACUCCUACGGGAGGCAGCAGUGGGGAAUAUUGGACAAUGGGCGCAAGCCUGAUCCAGCAAUGCCGCGUGGGUGAAGACGGCCUGCGGGUUGUAAAGCCCUUUAGGCGGGAGGAACGGUCGAGUGAUAAUAUCGCUCGGCGCUGACGUUACCCGCAGAAUAAGCACCGGCUAACUCCGUGCCAGCAGCCGCGGUAAU